rnacentral:lncRNA from 1 species
UGUGAAAUACAUAAUUCUCAAUCUGCGAAUGAAAAUUAAUUACAACACAUGCAAGUGAACAAUUCGAGAUAAUAACAGAUUGGCAAGCCAUCGUAAAGGUACCAAGUCUCUUUGUUCUACAGGUAGUUUGAUCAAUCUUUUGAGCUUAGCUAGGGCCAGUAAGUUUGGUUUUUCUUUUUUGGCUGCUGUUCUUCAUUGCAUUUG